GACAGAGUGAGGGAGGGGGUGACUAGUGACAGUUAGGGAAGGGGUGACUAGUGACAGAGUGAGGAAGGGGGUGACUAGUGACAGUCACCACCUCCCUCACUCUGUCACUAGUCACCACCUCCCUCAUGCUGUCACUGUGUCACCCCCUCCCUCUGUCACUGGUCACCCACUCCCUCCCUCACUCUGUC